rnacentral:misc_RNA from 1 species
UUUACUCGUUUAAAGUUUCUAGUUCAGAAGGAGCGCGGAGCUUUUCAGAGCGUUUUGCACAGGGGCCUGCGGCGGGAGGCCCGCCGAGGCAACGUGAAGGUAUAGGGUUCGCGGGGUUGGCAGAGCCACGACACAGUGGUCACUCUGUAAUGAUCCCUCCGCUGGUUCACCAACGGAGA